UAGUAAUCCAAUGUAUUAUCAACAAUACAAUGGACCAUUGAAUUAUGAGCUUGAUAGCAGUAAUGGAUUAAUACCAUUGGAACAUAAUGACUAUCCACUGAUAUCAGUUGUAGUAGUCAGUGUUCCAGCAUCAUUAACAACAGAUACAAUGAUACCUUGCACAACAAGUACCAGCAGUACCACAAUUCCAGGAACACCAGCUGCUACUAGAAGUACAGUCAUUUCUUCCAUGAGUGGCUUAUCAAUUACUACUAACAUAAAUACUCUUCUUGUCUCAUCAGGUAGCUAU